rnacentral:rRNA from 1 species
AAUUAUUAUACCAACCUGAACAUAUCUGAUCCUAUCUGAUCUUGGAAGCUAAGCGGAAUUAGAUCUGGUUAGUACUUGGAUGGGACAUUGCCUAGAAAUACCAGUUGCUGUAGGUU